CCUACGGGUGGCAGCAGUGGGGAAUAUUGGGCAAUGGACGAAAGUCUGACCCAGCAAAGCCGCGUGAAGGAAGAAGGCCUUCGGGUUGUAAACUUCUUUUAAGGGGGAAGAGCAGAAGACGGUACCCCUUGAAUAAGCCACGGCUAACUACGUGCCAGCAGCCGCGGUAAUACGUAGGUGGCAAGCGUUGUCCGGAUUUACUGGGUGUAAAGGGCGUGCAGCCGGGAAGACAAGGCAGAUGUGAAAUCCCGCGGCUCAACCUCGAAACAGCAGUUGAAACUGUUUUUCUUGAGUAUCGGAGAGGUAAGCGGAAUUCGUGGUGUAGCGGUGAAAUGCGUAGAUAUUAGGAAGAACACCGGUGGCGAAGGCGGAUUACUGGACGACGACUGACGGUGAGGCGCGAAAGCGUGGGGAGCAAACAGGAUUAGAUACCCGGGUAGUC
rnacentral:rRNA from 1 species